rnacentral:rRNA from 1 species
UACGUAGGGACCAAGCGUUGUUCGGAUUUACUGGGCGUAAAGGGCGCGUAGGCGGCAUGACAAGUCACUUGUGAAAUCUCUGGGCUUAACCCAGAACGGCCAAGUGAUACUGUCGCGCUAGAGUGCAGAAGGGGCAAUCGGAAUUCUCGGUGUAGCGGUGAAAUGCGUAGAUAUUCGCAAGAACACCAGUGGCGAAGGCGGCUGACUGGUCCGGUUCUGACGCUGAGGCGCGAAAAGCGUGGGGAGCAAACGGG